AGAAUUUGUGUAUGCAUGCUUAUUGAGCUAGUUGGCGGGGGGCGGGGGAGAAUAUAAAAGACAGGUGCAAAAAUGAAUCCUCCUGCAAACCAGAACUCAUUGUUCAGCAUGAGUUUUGAUACCUGUAAGAGGAAAU
rnacentral:snoRNA from 1 species